CCUACGGGGAGCAGCAGUGGGGGAUAUUGGACAAUGGGGGGAACCCUGAUCCAGCGACGCCGCGUGAGUGAAGAAGUAUCUCGGUAUGUAAAGCUCUAUCAGCAGGGAAGAAGAAAUGACGGUACCUGAGUAAGAAGCCCCGGCUAACUACGUGCCAGCAGCCGCGGUAAUACGUAGGGGGCAAGCGUUAUCCGGAUUUACUGGGGGUAAAGGGAGCGUAGACGGCAGCGCAAGUCUGGAGUGAAAUCCCAUGGCUUAACCAUGGAACUGCUUUGGAAACUGUGCAGCUGGAGUGCAGGAGAGGUAAGCGGAAGUCCUAGUGUAGCGGUGAAAUGCGUAGAUAUUAGGAGGAACACCAGUGGCGAAGGCGGCUUACUGGACUGUAACUGACGUUGUGGCUCGAAAGCGCGGGUAUCGAACAGGAUUAGAUACCCUUGUAGUC
rnacentral:rRNA from 1 species